GACGAACGCUGGCGGCGUGCCUAAUACAUGCAAGUCGAACGAGAGCGACCGGUGCUUGCACUGGUCAAUCUAGUGGCGAACGGGUGAGUAACACGUGGGUAACCUGCCCAUCAGAGGGGGAUAACAUUCGGAAACGGAUGCUAAAACCGCAUAGGUCUUCGAACCGCAUGGUUUGAAGAGGAAAAGAGGCGCAAGCUUCUGCUGAUGGAUGGACCCGCGGUGCAUUAGCUAGUUGGUGAGGUAACGGCUCACCAAGGCCGUGAUGCAUAGCCGACCUGAGAGGGUGAUCGGCCACAUUGGGACUGAGACACGGCCCAAACUCCUACGGGAGGCAGCAGUAGGGAAUCUUCCGCAAUGGACGCAAGUCUGACGGAGCAACGCCGCGUGAGUGAAGAAGGUUUUCGGAUCGUAAAACUCUGUUGUUAGAGAAGAACAAGUGCUAGAGUAACUGUUAGCGCCUUGACGGUAUCUAACCAGAAAGCCACGGCUAACUACGUGCCAGCAGCCGCGGUAAUACGUAGGUGGCAAGCGUUGUCCGGAUUUAUUGGGCGUAAAGCGAGCGCAGGCGGUUCCUUAAGUCUGAUGUGAAAGCCCCCGGCUCAACUGGGGAGGGUCAUUGGAAACUGGGGAACUUGAGUGCAGAAGAGGAGAGUGGAAUUCCAUGUGUAGCGGUGAAAUGCGUAGAUAUAUGGAGGAACACCAGUGGCGAAGGCGACUCUCUGGUCUGUAACUGACGCUGAGGC
rnacentral:rRNA from 1 species